CCGCAGUAAUUUGACUGUGCAAAGGUAGCAUAAUCAAUAGUUUUUUAAUUAAAAGCUUGUAUGAAAGGUUGGACGAGAUAAAUUCUGUCUCUUUAUAAUUUAUUAGAAUUUAAUUUUUAAGUUAAAAAGCUUAAAUUUUUAUAAAAGACGAGAAGACCCUAUAGAGUUUUAUAUUUUUAUUAAUAAAAUUUAUUAAGAUUAUUUAUUUUUUUAUUAUAUAAAAUAUUUUAUUGGGGUAAUAGAAAGAUUAAGUUAAUUCUUUUUUUUAUUUAUAUUUAUUUAUAUUUUAUUGAUCCAAUUUUAUUGAUUAAAAGAUUAAAUUACCUUAGGGAUNACAGCGUAAUUUUUUUAGAGAGUUCAUAUUGAUAAAAAAGUUUGCGACCUCGAUGUUGGAUUAAAGAUUAGUUUAGGUGCAAAAGUUUAAAUUUUUGGUCUGUUCGACCAUUAAAUCUUUACAUGAUCUGAGUUCAGACCGGUGUGAGCCAGGUCGGUUUCUA
rnacentral:rRNA from 1 species